AUGGCUCGAGACUUUGAUACAUACAUGAAGGGGUACCAGAGGUGCAAGCGCCCUUGGGAGUGUUCAGUUAAAGAUCUAGGCGUCAGGCAUAUCGAUUUCGAUGAAAAAAGCAUGAGGUUUUUUGAGGGCAAAUACACCAUGGGACCAAUCAUAUCUGACUGUCUCAUUGAGAAGUUCCUAAACAGAUCACAGUUUGAGUCCUAUUCUCUUUUGAGGAACUUUAGGCAUUCAAAUGUUGUGGCUGUCCAAAACUUCUAUGAUGUGUCAGGCUAUCCCAGGUUUGUAUUAUCUUGGGUGGACGGAAGCUUAACAGCAUGGAUGAAAAAGGAUGGCGCAGGCAUAAUGUUUAAAUCAAAUAUGAAGGGAAGCAUUCCAACAGGAGCACUAAGACAGACCCUCCUUGACCUCUGUAGCGGACUUGAGCAUUUACUGGCUGAGCAAUUGUACCCUGCUGAGAUUGAUUUAAAAGACAUGUACGUGCGCCAAGUGGGCCACAAGGGAAUUGUCCAAAUCCUCAUUAAUAAAGUUGAGAGAUUGUCAGGUCUUGAUGCAACAAAAAGGAAGGCAAAGUUAUGGGCUGGUCUGAGAAAAGCUCUUCAUGAGAUAUAUAAGGAGGCUCCACGCGCUGUUAACCCUGUUGCAUUGAGGUUCAUCAACUAUGUUGGAGUUACAGACAGCACCCGACUACAGAGGUUCCCUGACAAAUGGGACUACAACAUGAAGGCAAGGUACUUACUAUCAGUUAUGUCAGAAGAUAUUGCUGUGGUAAGACCUAAACUGCAUGUCCAAGGUGUGCCUAUAAUAAAUUGGCCAAAAACUCCCAAUGGCAACCGUCUUCGGGCACCAUUUCAAGAGGCGUUUGACCAUCAGGCCGCACGUGGAACAAUCUAUGACGUAGAAGAUCCCUAUGACUACAUAAGAUUGUGCAAGGAUGUUAUCAAACAUUGGAACGUCAUGCCAGCUUCUGUUAAGGGCGAGUGUUCCACCUGGGAGAAGUUCAUUGACAAGAUCGAGAAAUGGGAUCAGAUGAUUUGGUGCACUCUGUACGAGGCUACUGCAUGA
rnacentral:rRNA from 1 species